rnacentral:rRNA from 1 species
GACGAACGCUGGCGGCGUGCUUAACACAUGCAAGUCGAACGGUAAGGCCCUUCGGGGUACACGAGUGGCGAACGGGUGAGUAACACGUGGGUGAUCUGCCCUGCACUUCGGGAUAAGCCUGGGAAACUGGGUCUAAUACCGGAUAGGACCACUGCCUGCAUGGGUGGUGGUGGAAAGCGUUUGCGAUGGGGGAUGGGCCCGCGGCCUAUCAGCUUGUUGGUGGGGUGAUGUCCUACCAAGGCGACGACGGGUAGCCGGCCUGAGAGGGUGACCGGACACACUGGGACUGAGAUGCGGCCCAGACUCCUACGGGAGGCAGCAGUGGGGAAUAUUGCACAAUGGGCGCAAGCCUGAUGCAGCGACGCCGCGUGAGGGAUGACGGCCUUCGGGUUGUAAACCUCUUUCAGAACCGACGAAGCGCAAGUGACGGUAGGUGCAGAAGAAGGACCGGCCAACUACGUGCCAGCCGCCGCAGUAA